rnacentral:rRNA from 1 species
CUGCCGGCGACCGGCGCACGGGUGAGUAACACGUAUGGAACCUGCCCGCAGCAGGGGGAUAAGCGGAAGAAAUUCCGUCUAAUACCGCGUAACAACGUUGGGAGGCAUCUCCCGAUGUUUAAAGAUUUAUCGGCUGCGGAUGGCCACGCGGCGCAUUAGCUAGUCGGCGGGGUAACGGCCCACCGAGGCGACGAUGCGUAGGGGUUCUGAGAGGAAGGUCCCCCACACUGGUACUGAGACACGGACCAGACUCCUACGGAAGGCAGCAG